rnacentral:lncRNA from 1 species
GGUGGAACUUAAUUCUACUGUGGUGUUGAGGGGUGAGGCCUUUGGGAAGGGAUUAGAUUAGAUAAAGUUGUUAGGGUGGAGCCCUCAUAAUUUAAUCCUGUUGGCUUUUUAAGGAAUGGAGAGAAAUCUGGAAGACACAGAUACACCCGACUUCUGCUAUGACUCGGAGCAGCUGAAGGCAGCCCUCACCAGAGUCUGAGCCCUGCAUUUGGACUUCCAGCCUCCACCUCCAUGAGCUGACCACACCUCUCUGUAACAGGAGUUACUGCAGAUAUUUCAGCACAGCCAUGAAAAGCUGGCAGAUAUGCUGGGGAAGGAAUGGAACUGAUGUGGGGCAAAGAGGAAGUGACCCAGAAUCCAGAGAGAACUCAUUUCUUCUCUGAGGUGAACAGCGGAAGUGCAUUUGCCUGGAAGCUACCCUCCAUCUGGUGUCAGAGAGCUCUCACACCAGGAUCUCAGGAGGUUGGGGAGCUCAGUAGGCCUCAGCUAAGGGCAAAACAGCAGGCUCAUCUUCCUGAAGACUCUCCCACGCUCCCCAGAUGGGUGUCUUGGACGCUCUCCCUUGGUUUAGGGGUACACUGCUUGGGGGAGCACAUUUGUCCUGCUCUUCUGCAUCUCCUGCUGGGACUGCCCCCUGCAGUGACUCUCCAAGCUGCUGUUCCUUUGGUGGAAGUGGGUGGCAGAGCUUGAGCUACCCACAUCUCUCCAUGUCCUUCUGGGACAAGCCUAGCAGCUCUGCCUCAGGAUGCAGGGGAAGCCGUCAUCUGCCGCCCUAUACUUAUACGUCGAGGUCCUUGGCACAGCUUGGUCACUUUAAGGAAAGACCCCAAGUAUAGGUUUUGUGGACGGCAGAGGGGCAGUGACCAGAAGACAAAGGCCUCGCUGAGCAGAGCACCAUGGUGAGUGUUGGGAUAUGGAAAG